rnacentral:lncRNA from 1 species
AAACUAUAGCACAGUGGAAAGAUAUGUAUUUUAUAAACUCCAGCGAUAUACUUAUUGAAUUUUAUAAGUUAACUGUUUUGCUAUUCUCGGUUGAAGUUCGAACGUAGAUUAUAUAUUUGUGAAUAUCUAAAUAGUUACAGAGAAAACAAUCAGUUUUUAAAAGCGUGUUUAUUCAUUAAAUGUAUUGAUAAAAAGGUGGACCCCUUCUAGUACAUGCAUUCAGUCAUACUUAUUAAUAAUUUCUUAAUAUGUCG